GUGGGGAAUAUUGGACAAUGGGCGAAAGCCUGAUCCAGCCAUGCCGCGUGUGUGAAGAAGGUCUUCGGAUUGUAAAGCACUUUAAGUUGGGAGGAAGGGCAGUAAGCUAAUACCUUGCUGUUUUGACGUUACCGACAGAAUAAGCACCGGCUAACUUCGUGUCAGCAGCCGCGGUAAUACGAAGGGUGCAAGCGUUAAUCGGAAUUACUGGGCGUAAAGCGCGCGUAGGUGGUUCAGCAAGUUGGAGGUGAAAUCCCCGGGCUCAACCUGGGAACUGCCUCCAAAACUACUGAGCUAGAGUACGGUAGAGGGUAGUGGAAUUUCCUGUGUAGCGGUGAAAUGCGUAGAUAUAGGAAGGAACACCAGUGGCGAAGGCGACUACCUGGACUGAUACUGACACUGAGGUGCGAAAGCGUGGGGAGCAAACAGGAUUAGAAACCCCGGUAGUCC
rnacentral:rRNA from 1 species